CUCGAUGUGGACCUGGCCAGCUUGUCAUUUUUGAUGGUAUUAUGGAUCAACACUUGAUAAUCAAAAAAGCUGCCGGUCCAUACUUAAGGGAGCGUUUCCGUAUGUCUACACAUAGAUUCUUCCAAGACAGCAAUCCAAAACACACAGCAAAAAGUGUCAAGGCCUGCAUUCAAUGUAAGGGGUCAACUGGGUACAGACACCGGCAGAGUCGCUGGAUCUGAACCCCAUUGAGUUAGUGUGGGCUUCCAUGAAACAAUACACUGUGAGGCCAAACCCAUGAGCAAAGGCGCACUGAUCUCUACAAUAGAGUUUUUUUGGCAAAACAAGCUCACAGCCGAUGUCUGCAAUAAAUACAUAGACCAUCUGGACCAGGUCAUAG